rnacentral:tRNA from 1 species
UGCUCGGUAGCUCAGUGGUAGAGCGGUCGGCUGUUAACCGAUUGGUCGCUGGUUCGAGCCCAGCCCGAGCAGCCA